UGAGUUUUGAUUUCUGGCUCAGGAUGAACGCUGGCGGCGUGCUAAUACAUGCAAGUCGAACGCUAGUCGCGGACNUGAUCACUUCGGUGAGACGUAAAGCAUAUGGCUAGAGUGGCGAACGGGUGAGUAACACGUGGACAACCUGCCUCUAAGCAGGGGAUAACAUUUGGAAACAGAUGCUAAUACCGUAUAACAACACAUUUCGCAUGAAGUGUGUUUAAAAGGGGCUUCGGCCUCACUUAGAGAUGGAUCCGCGGUGCAUUAGUUAGUUGGUGAGGUAAAGGCUUACCAAGACGAUGAUGCAUAGCCGAGUUGAGAGACUGAUCGGCCACAUUGGGACUGAGACACGGCCCAAACUCCUACGGGAGGCUGCAGUAGGGAAUCUUCCACAAUGGGCGCAAGCCUGAUGGAGCAACGCCGCGUGUGUGAUGAAGGCUUUCGGGUCGUAAAGCACUGUUGUAUGGGAAGAAUAGUUAAUGUAGGAAAUGAUGUUAAUGUGACGGUACCAUACCAGAAAGGGACGGCUAAAUACGUGCCAGCAGCCGCGGUAAUACGUAUGUCCCGAGCGUUAUCCGGAUUUAUUGGGCGUAAAGCGAGCGCAGACGGUUCGUUAAGUCUGAAGUGAAAGCCCACAGCUCAACUGUGGAAUGGCUUUGGAAACUGGCGAACUUGAGUGCAGUAGAGGCAAGUGGAACUCCAUGUGUAGCGGUGGAAUGCGUAGAUAUAUGGAAGAACACCAGUGGCGAAGGCGGCUUGCUGGACUGUAACUGACGUUGA
rnacentral:rRNA from 1 species